CAAUGGAUUUCUACAGUAGCAGAGCUUUUCAAUCUUCAUCAGAUCCCUUUAGGGGUGAGCUGAUGGAAGCACUUGAGCCUUUUAUGAAGGGUGCUUCUUCAUCGCCACCCAGCUCCAUACCCACUACCCCUUCUCCUCCUCCUUCAACCUCAAACCCCUUUCUUCCUUCUUUCCCUUCUACCUCUUCCUCCCCCUCCUACAACAACAGCUACCUCUCUUUCUCUCCUUCAAUCCCCACAACCACCACAAUCCAUCAGCCCGAUUUGUACCAAGAUGGUUGCUCCACCUCCUCCUCCAUGACCCUGUUUUCAGAUGGGUUCUUUGAGCAGCUGCAGCAGCAGCAAC
rnacentral:lncRNA from 1 species